GGCUCUCGGGAUUCAGUUGAGAAGCUGCUAUUGAUCGCGGGAGAUAAAUGUGGAUAAAUGUGCAGAUAUUGUUUUAUAUUAGUAUUCAGAUGUUAUAAAAAUCGUUUUAUCUUCAGGAUGUAACUUGAGAAUAGGAACUGUGGCUGCCGAUUGUUCCAAACAUUCUAGAGCUGCUCAUCUUAAGGAAGAAAGAGAUACAGUCAGAGGUUAGCCACCAGUACAGCUUUGAAUCACUAGGAGCCUGAAAUUUUAGGCAUUAAUGAACAAAAGGACAGUGUGAAAAAAAUGAAGGACCAGUCCAAGUGCACUUAAAUAUCAGACGCAGAUGACCUCUAGUCCAGUUAGCAGGAACCUGUGACCUACCGCUUCUCUCUGUCCAACCAAAGAGCCGGGGGGGG